GACAUGAACCACUGGCUGAGAAACAUCCUGAUUCUGACUCUCUGGCUAGAGUGUAAAGGAGAAGACAGAGUGACCCAGCCAGCAGGAGAUGUCAUUGCUGCUGAAGGAGACACAGUUACACUUGGCUGUACUUUUGAGACGAGUUACACUGCAACUUUGUUCUGGUACAAACAGGAUGGAAACAACAGCCCCAAAUUCAUGCUGAGUCGCAUGAAACAGAACGAUGUGAAAACAGAGGAUAAGUUUAAGGAGAGGUUUUCAUCAACAGUUGAUUCCACCUCAAAAUCAGUUCCUCUGAAGAUCCAGAAGCUUCAGCUGUCUGACUCUGCUGUGUACUACUGUGCUCUGCAGCCCACAGUGACAGGAAACACCAAAACUCUGUACAAAAACCUUUGGAGCAAAGACAACAGAAUACUCCACAACGUCCACUAGAGGGAGUCACACACUGUUAAACUUCAGUGUGAUGAUGAAGUCUGGAUUUGUUUCAACUUGAACAAAUGUAUGCAAUACUGUCAAUAUACUGUAUGUACUGUUAUACUUCAGUAUUGGAGAAAAACAUUUACACAGUUUGAAUGAAACAUGUCUAUAAACUGGUUGGCAUCACAGA